CCGGCGACCGGCGCACGGGUGAGUAACGCGUAUGCAACCUGCCCGUUUCAGCGGGAUAACCCGGAGAAAUCCGGCCUAAUACCGCAUGUGGCCGAGGGGAGGCAUCUUCUUUCGGCCAAAGGAGGCGACUCCGGAGACGGAUGGGCAUGCGUGACAUUAGCUUGUUGGCGGGGUAACGGCCCACCAAGGCGACGAUGCGUAGGGGUUCUGAGAGGAAGGUCCCCCACACUGGUACUGAGACACGGACCAGACUCCUACGGGAGGCAGCAG
rnacentral:rRNA from 1 species